UGCACAAACUCGAAGGCAAAUCGCGAAAAAGAACCCGCUAAUAUAUCCCCACGAAAUCACGUUCUUUGUAUUUCACUUGUUCAAGACUUCAACUGCUCAUCUCACAGACUCAUACCCUCUUCGGUCCGCCAAACUCUUUCUUCAUUUCCGGUGAUUUGGUGAUGCUUCCGGCGACUUGGUGCUACUUCCGGCGAGAUCAUAACGGUUUUCAAGUGGUGAGGCGGGUGGAGGUCAAUGGCGAGGCUAGCGGAAAGUUUGGCGUCAAGGUAUGCACAUCAGAUGAUGCAUGCAAAUAUACGAGGGUUAGUGAUCUUUUUGUAUAUGAGCAGUUCCAUAGAGCUCCUGUGGAGUCUGUAGAAGUAGGAGACAUACAUAUGUGCUGUUUGUGGAAUUUGAGACAUUCAAAUUGGAGAGACAAUUGUUGAUAAAGUAUUUAGGAAACCAUUACCUGCAAUAAAGGUCGAGGAGCCUACUGUCAAGAUGGCGUUCUCAAUUAAUACGUCUCCAUUUGUUGGCCUUUGAGAGGAAAGCUAUAUGAAGUAUGGCAAGGCUUGGAUUUUGUGAAUUUCUUUGUAGAUGAUGGGUAGUGCUAAUUACUUUUUUUCUAAGACUUUCUUUGAAUUUUGUAAGAUAUUCAAGUUACGUCGGAUGUUUAAUUUGAAGAUUAUUCUAUAGUCCACCAGUUGUAUGUAAUUUGCUAUUC